rnacentral:rRNA from 1 species
AUUGAACGCUGGCGGCAGGCCUAACACAUGCAAGUCGAGCGGAUGAAGGGAGCUUGCUCCUGGAUUCAGCGGCGGACGGGUGAGUAAUGCCUAGGAAUCUGCCUGGUAGUGGGGGAUAACGUCCGGAAACGGGCGCUAAUACCGCAUACGUCCUGAGGGAGAAAGUGGGGGAUCUUCGGACCUCACGCUAUCAGAUGAGCCUAGGUCGUAUUAGCUAGUUGGUGGGGUAAAGGCCUACCAAGGCGACGAUCCGUAACUGGUCUGAGAGGAUGAUCAGUCACACUGGAACUGAGACACGGUCCAGACUCCUACGGGAGGCAGCAGUGGGGAAUAUUGGACAAUGGGCGAAAGCCUGAUCCAGCAAUGCCGCGUGUGUGAAGAAGGUCUUCGGAUUGUAAAGCACUUUAAGUUGGGAGGAAGGGCAGUAAGUUAAUACCUUGCUGUUUUGACGUUACCAACAGAAUAAGCACCGGCUAACUUCGUG